AUUGAACGCUGGCGGCAUGCUUUACACAUGCAAGUCGAGCGGCAGCGCGGGGGCAACCCUGGCGGCGAGCGGCGAACGGGUGAGUAAUGCAUCGGAACGUGUCCGGGAGUGGGGGAUAACGCCGCGAAAGCGGCGCUAAUACCGCAUAUUCUCUGAGGAGGAAAGCGGGGGACUCGCAAGAGCCUCGCGCUCGCGGAGCGGCCGAUGUCCGAUUAGCUGGUUGGUGAGGUAACGGCUCACCAAGGCGACGAUCGGUAGCUGGUCUGAGAGGAUGAACAGCCACACGGGGACUGAGACACGGCCCAGACUCCUACGGGAGGCAGCAGUGGGGAAUUUUGGACAAUGGGCGCAAGCCUGAUCCAGCCAUGCCGCGUGUGUGAAGAAGGCCUUCGGGUUGUAAAGCACUUUCGGACGGAACGAAAUCGCGCGGACGAACAUUCCGCGUGGAUGACGGUACCGUAAGAAGAAGCACCGGCUAACUACGUGCCAGCCGCCGCUGUAAAAC
rnacentral:rRNA from 1 species